rnacentral:tRNA from 1 species
GCGGGAUUAGUUUAAUGGUAAAACCUCAGUUUUCCAAACUGAUGUCAUCAGUUCGAUUCUGAUAUUCCGCUCCA